UAUCCGCUACGCACCGAAUACUCACCAAACACCUGAGCUCUCCAGGCUUGUUUGUCCUCUUGCCGGUGACGAGAAAGAGGAAUACUCAAGACUUUUCUCGCCUCAUUUGCAGACAUAAUCCUAUAAUCUUCCAAUCUUGGCACCCAAGCAUCAUUUCAGAUUGAAAUUCUGGAACCAGAACCCACCCUCCAGCACAUUCCCAACUUGAGUAAUCCAUUGACUGCCGAAACGCUCUUCCAGGCUGAAGAUUGGAUUUUGGAGACAUGCAUACACAAUCUAUCUACGAGGCCAUUGUGUACUACUAAAUCAUAUUUGGAAGUUGUGGGAUUCUUGCACGUGUCUAGUAUACUGGGGGUGUAAAUUGGACCCACACUUAUUAGUGCAUUGGUGGAAAGAUGGAAACCAGAGACACACGCAUUUCAUUUUUCAUGUGGUGAGUGUAUAAUCACACUCGAGGACAUUCACUUAUAGCUCGAUUUAUAGGUGGAUGAGCCAAUCGUUAUCGGAUCAAUGGUAGAUGGCAAUUAGAGUGGCAUUUGAAAGGAACUGUUAGGCAAGGUGCCGCCAAAGUUUUUUGGUGGGCGGAUAGAGUUGAAAUUAUUGGAAGACAAUUUCAAAGAUCUCGAUAGGAGUUCGAGUCCCCUUUAAGAGAACAAUACGCUUGAGUAUAUAUCAUGAGGUUAAUCAGAGGUGUUCUAAUGUCUGAUGAAUCUCAAACUCUUGUACAUUCCUCAUCAACUUGAAAAAAGCGAGCGGACUCAAUUGGGGGUCAGCCGUUUUGACAACAUUGUAUCAAGAGAUGAGUCAGACGAUGCAACCAUAAGUAAUUAAAAUUGGUGGUUACGUACUUCUUCUGCA